rnacentral:rRNA from 1 species
CCUACGGGAGGCAGCAGUGGGGAAUAUUGGGCAAUGGGCGCAAGCCUGACCCAGCAACGCCGCGUGAAGGAAGAAGGCUUUCGGGUUGUAAACUUCUUUUCUCAGGGACGAAGCAAGUGCCGGUACCUGAGGAAUAAGCCACGGCUAACUACGUGCCAGCAGCCGCGGUAAUACGUAGGGGGCAAGCUUUAUCCGGAUUAACUGGGUGUAAAGGGCGUGUAGGCGGGAAAGAAAGUCAGAUGUGAAAACCAUGGGCUCAACCUGUGGCCUGCAUUUGAAACUGUUUUUCUUGAGUACUGGAGAGGCAGGCGGAAUGCCUAGUGUAGCGGUGAAAUGCGUAGAUAUUAGGAGGAACACCGGUGGCGAAGGCGGUCUGCUGGACCGCAACUGACGCUGAGGCGCGAAAGCGUGGGGAGCAAACAGGAUUAGAUACCCUGGUAGUC